AUGAAAACAUAUGUUCCUGCAUUAUUCAUUUUUCUAUGGCUGCAGCUGGAUGGUAUGAGCCAAGGCAAGCAAGUGAAGCAGCUUCCUUCCAUCCUGAGAGUCCAGGAGGGAUCCAGUGCCAUCAUCAACUGCACUUAUGUAGACAGUGCCUCUCUCUACUUCCCUUGGUAUGAGCAAAAGCCCAGAAAGCAUCCUAAGCUCCUCAUUGACAUUCGUUCAAAUAUGGAAAGAAAGCAGACCCAACGACUCAUCUUAUUACUGAAUGAGAAAGCCAAACACUUCUCCCUGCACAUCACAGACACCCAGCCUGGAGACUCAGCCAUGUACUUCUGUGCUGCAAGUGCACACUGCUCCACAGGCACCUGCAGCCCAGGCCCAAACCUGCCUGGAGCCCCAUCUACAUCCUGUGUCACAGGCCUCCCAGGGCAGCGUCACAUUACAUAAUUUUGUAUCUGAAAACUUACUAUUGGAUAGCUAAUUAGGGAGAUUAUCCUCCAAGAUGAAUAAUUUCCCCUCUCUCCCUUAAUUGUUUGUAGUUAUUUGUCUAGAAAAUAGACCACUAUGAGAUUUGAGCAACAAGAUAAGACAUGGCUAUCAAAAGGAUUCAAACAUGAAAAAAAUAAAUGAAGUUAUCAGAUGAUGCUUAUUAUACAUAAGAGAUCUCCAAGACUCUACCAGAAAACUUCUAGAAAUUUUCAAUGAGUUCAGCAACAUGGUAGGGUACAAAAUCUACUUACGCUUCCUGGUUGCUGCCCCCGCCGAGAGCUCGUAGGCAGCAUCCCACGAGCAAACUUGAGCCUCAGGACCACAGGUAAGACAAAUCUUCCUGCUCCAAGCGACCUGCCUGGUGAACUCAGGACACACAGAGGCAAAAUUCCUCUAGGACUGGACACUUCCAGUUUUUAGCGGGAUUC